rnacentral:misc_RNA from 1 species
GGAAAAAUAGUUGGCUUCUCUGGUCAUGGAGUGUUACUUUGCAUUAGGACUUACGUCAAAUUUUAUCAAUGGAAAAAAUUUGAAAUUGGGAUGCCCUUUCUGUGAAAAUAUAAUGACUACAAGGAGGACAACUAUGCUGAUUUUACUAAAGCUAUAAAAAACUGCCAUCACUGACUUUGCCACCAGUAAUCGAAGUUUAGAACUGUUAUAUCAACCUCAGUAUGGUGCUGGUGCGCAAUGGAUAUAUAUAUUAAAUAAGUUAUACUAAAUUCAUCAUUUUAAAAUUUUCAGGUGCACCGUUUCC